rnacentral:rRNA from 1 species
UACGUAGGGUGCGAGCGUUGUCCGGAAUUAUUGGGCGUAAAGAGCUCGUAGGCGGUGUGUCACGGCGGCCGUGAAAACCUGCAGCUUAACUGUGGGCGUGCGGUCGAUACGGGCAUCACUGGAGUUCGGCAGGGGAGACUGGAAUUCCUGGUGUAGCGGUGAAAUGCGCAGAUAUCAGGAGGAACACCAGUGGCGAAGGCGGGUCUCUGGACAGUUCCUGACGCUGAGGCACGAAGGCCAGGGGAGCAAACGGG